AGUGCGACCCGGAACAAGGCGGACACGGCAGGAGCACCUCAUUCUUCCUCCUAGUCUUCUCCUGGAGCAGGGAGAGCCUGCCCGUGGGAUCAGCUCCCACGUUACUGAAUGGAGUUGCUCAUUUCGGCAGCGAAUGCUGAGGUGACAAAUGGCUUCUGUACAUUUGCGAAAAGGAGGGGAGGCAGGAAUGGUUUGACCUCCAGCAGAUACCUUGGGUGAGGAGGACAAGUGCCCUACCAAGAGAUGACAGAUUGUAGAACUAAAAGAAUCCUGGGUCUCUAAUGUUUUGUGGAGCUAUUGUGCCUUCCUUGGACUUCCAACUGCCCAACUUUUAUGAAGCACUUCUCCUUCCUGUCACCAUGUGAAGAAGGACGUGUUUGCUUCCCCUUCUGCUAUGAUUGUAAGCUUCCUGAGGCCUCCCCAGCCCUGCAGAACUAAAUCCAAAGAAGCCACUAUGCUGAAAAUACUUUGAGUGGGUUAGAGUUUCGCUCAAGGAAGUGCUGUAGUAGAAAAUGGCCAUUUCUCUGUGCUGUGUUCAGAGUAAGAGACAUGGGUGAAAGAGUUAUCCGGAAUGGAAUGCUGAGGAGACCCUAAAGGGAAUUUCCGGGUGGAUGGCCAGCACUGUCACUCGAUGAGUGGAGGAUUGGAGGUUGCUGUGAGGUUCCCUUAAGGGGUGAUGUUUGAUCUGAGAGCUGGUAAAUGAACAGGAGUUAAUUUAAGGACAAACUUGCCAAAUACUGCAAGAAAAGAUGUUGCUGAUCACGGAUAGGAAAUACUCCAAGUCCCAGGAGAUAGUCUGUUCUUAGGAGACUUCCACACCAAGUCUGCUGAC
rnacentral:lncRNA from 10 species